UCUGUACCUGUAAUAUUGUUAUGUACAUUGCGAAGAGGUAGAAACACAUGUGUUUAAUAUUGUAUGUAUCUAUUUAUAUAAAUCGAUAAGAAAAAUAAUUAAAUAAACGCGUAUUUCCUGUGUCCCAGAUAGAAAGUCUGAUAUACAAAUUUGUUAGGCAGUCUGAAGAGAAGUGAGGAGAGUGUUAAAUUUGCCUGAGGUGUAUUAUGUUGAUAAUAUUAAACAUAUUCGAUCAUAAGAGUCACUAAGUUAUUCUUCAAUAUUAUUUCGUUGCAUUGCUAAACAACAUGGACCAAGAAGUUAUCCAGUAUUCUCAAUGAAUAAAAUAAAAUAAAAUAAUUUUUAAUUAUAAUUAAAUUAUUUAAUAAAGAUUAAGUUAUUUUCAAUAACCAAACUUGGCUUAUGAGAUCUGUGAUGUAGAAGGUACAGUAAAUUACUAUUAUUAUUGAAUUUACAAAAAUAUGUUACUUGUUAAUACUUUAUUUCAAACGUCAAUAAUAAUUUGUUGUUAAACACCAUCCAUAUCUUUGGGAAUAGCACAAUGUUCAACUAAAUUUAGCGCUGGAACGUAUACUUUGAAGGAAUGGUCGUUUUUUGAAAAUGAUCCUGGAUUGAUUAUAUGACAAUUAGAAUAGGUAGUUUCAUAUGCUUCAAAU